rnacentral:rRNA from 1 species
GCAUGAACGCUGGCGCCGUGCCUCAUACAUGCAACUCGAGCGAGCGGACCACAAUGCUUGCUUCUCUGAUGUCACCGACGGACGGGCUGACUAACACGUGGAUAACCUACCUAUAAAACUGGGAUAACUUCCGGACACCGGAGCUAAUACCGGCUAAUCUUUUGAACCGCAUGGUUCACAAGUGAACUACGGUCUUGCUGUCACUUAUAGAUGGCACCUGCGCUGCUUUAGCUAGUUGGUACGGUAACCGCUUACCAAGGCCACGAUGCCUACCCGACCUGAGAGGGUGAUCGGCCCCACUGGAACUGAUACACGCUCCAGACUCCUACGGGAGGCAGCAGUAGGGAAUCUUCCGCAAUGGGCGAAAGCCUGACGGAGCAACGCCGCGUGAGUGAUGAACGUCUUCGGAUCGUAAAACUCUGUUCUUAGGGAAGAACAUAUGUGUACGUAACUGUGCACAUCUUGACGGUACCUACCCAGAAAGCCACGGUUACCUACGUGUCAGCAGCCGCGGUACUACGUAGGUGGCAAGCGUUAUCCGGAAUUAUUGGGCGUAAAGCGCGCGUAGCGGUUUUUUAAGUCUGAUGUGAAAGCCCACGGCUCAACUGUGGAGGGUCAUUGGAAACUGGAAAACUUGAGUGCAGAAGAGGAAAGUGGAAUUCCAUGUGUAGCGGUGAAAUGCGCAGAGAUAUGGAGGAACACCAGUGGCGAAGGCGACUUUCUGGUCUGUAACUGACGCUGAUGUGCGAAAGCGUGGGGAUCAAACAGGAUUAGAUACCCUGGUAGUCCACGCCGUAAACGAUGAGUGCUAAGUGUUAGGGGGUUUCCGCCCCUUAGUGCUGCAGCUAACGCAUUAAGCACUCCGCCUGGGGAGUACGACCGCAAGGUUGAAACUCAAAGGAAUUGACGGGGACCCGCACAAGCGGUGGAGCAUGUGGUUUAAUUCGAAGCAACGCGAAGAACCUUACCAAAUCUUGACAUCCUUUGACAACUCUAGAGAUAGAGCUUUCCCCUUCGGGGGACAAAGUGACAGGUGGUGCAUGGUUGUCGUCAGCUCGUGUCGUGAGAUGUUGGGUUAAGUCCCGCAACGAGCGCAACCCUUAAGCUUAGUUGCCAUCAUUAAGUUGGGCACUCUAAGUUGACUGCCGGUGACAAACCGGAGGAAGGUGGGGAUGACGUCAAAUCAUCAUGCCCCUUAUGAUUUGGGCUACACACGUGGUACAAUGGGCAGUCCAAAGGCGAGGGAGACCGAGAGGUCAAGCAAAUCCCGUAGAGUGGUUCUCAGUUCGGAUUGUAGUCGGCAGCUGGAGUACAUGAAGGUGGAAUCGGUAGUAAUCGUAGAUGAGCAUGCGACGGUGAAUACGUUCCCGGGUGU